CAGAUGUGGUUCAAUGGCAGAACACAAGCUUCCCAAGCUUGUGACGCGGGUUCGAUUCCCGUCAUCUG
rnacentral:tRNA from 1 species